UUCACGAGAGCAGUGAUUUCCAGGCUUUCUUAGCAAUGUGCCACUUCCCCUGACGUACUUACCAGACAGUGAAUUUUCCAUUUUUUACAAGAAGAAAAUUUUGGUGACAAAUUAUCCAAUAACAAAAGGACUUGUGUCUACUAAGAUCGUAACAUAUAAAAAAUCAUGGCCUCAGAAGAAAUUAAGCUUGCAAAGAAUGUCCACAGCGAGACUGCGGGUGCAGAAGCUUCAGACAAGAAGAAGGGAGGCAAAUUCCAGCCUUUUAAGAAGUUGUUUGGCAAAAGGAAAAAGAAAGAUACUACAUUGUCCCAGGCCGGAUCGUCGGGGAAGAAGAGCCACUCUCCUUUGAGUGUCAACAAUGGGAACUUCUCUUCGGAUGAGGAGACCCUGGAGGACAAUCUGAGUGCCCUGGACUCUAGGCCACAGGCCCAGCAUGCAGCCUCUGUCUCUUCUGCAGUUCUCCAGAUAAGAUGGGCAUAGAACACUGGACCUGGGCUUGGGCAUCCCAGCUACACAAGGCGAGGCGUCCCAUGCUCUCAGACAGCAGCAUGUGCCACC
rnacentral:lncRNA from 1 species